AAUCAAUUUGCUGAUCCGAAUUCUCUGGCAAAUUUGUGUCUAAUUGACCACAUGUAAUUUUCUCAUACUUAGAAUUUAGCAUUAUGAAAAUAUGUUCCCAUUAAUCUUUAUGCUAUUCUAAGAGUGAAAAUCUUAUCAACAACCUUGCGUUCGCACAUUAUUUAGCAGUCAGAAUUUGCUCCAAAUGUUUAUCCCACUCUGCUAAUGACUGGACAAAAGCUCAAAUAUAAGAGUUCAAGUAAAGAAAACUUCUGUAGUUACGAGCUGUUCAGUGCAUUCUUUUGAAUUUCUUUGUGCACUUGGCUUUAGCAUCUUUAUGGAGGAUUCUGCUGUCCGGUCAUCUGGCUAAAGUGGUUUUUUCUUUAGUAUCUUCAACUCUAUGCUUCAUUCUUUUUCAAAUUACACACACACACACGCGUAUAUACAUUCACAAGGCCAGGGUGCUACCCCUGUACAGAAAAUCUACAAUUGCAGCAAAUUUGCUGAAACCUCUAUGAGAUUCCCCAACUCUUCUCCCAAAAAAUCAAGGGUAGAUUCUUAAUCAAAACAAGGAGGGUCUAGAACCAGAUAGUCCUCUUCCUAUGAAAAGCAGAAGAAACACCUUCAGAAACACAUCUGUUUCCACUGAAUUUGCUAGUAAAUCAGAAAUUAGCUAGAUGCCUAGUAAAUCAGAAAUUAGCUAGAUGCAACGUGAGAAACUAUAUCCUUUAGUUCUUGACUCUCCUACCUGCGCAAACCUGUAACUCAGAAGCCACUCACAUGAUCGCCCCUGAUUUAUAACAGCCAAGGAGGCUAAAAAGCAGAAUUCCAAAGUUUUCUAGUUGCUCGCACAAGAAUGAAAUUCUACACUUCUGGUUGUUGCAAAAGUUGAGCAGGAAAAUGAGGAAAAUGGAAGGGUCAGGUUGACAAGUAUUGUUCUUAAGACAGCAGGCUAAACAUUGCCUCUUAUUCAUUUUUCUCUCACAACAAAAGAUGAUACAAGAUAUGGGGAAUAUGGUUUUCUGCAAGAAAGUGAAAAUUACUUUGUUCAUGUUUGUCAUUUCCUGUUAAUCAUAUGAGCCUAAUGGCCACCAGAACCUCAUUGUUCUAGGAUUCUGCUUGCUAUAAGUCCCAUGCUUUGCUUGUCUUGCAAUUAUGAAUAAUCUUGGC
rnacentral:lncRNA from 1 species